UACUUACUUUCAUUUCCGGGUUUUUUGUUUUUAUUGAGACGUAAGAGCAGAGCGUCAGGAAGGUGUUUCUGGCUCUGUCUGUUGAUUCUACACAAUUUCUCCUUUGCCUUCUCAUUACUCUUGUGGUGGGCAUGCAGCAUUUUAAACUAGGCCAAGACAAACUGUACAGCACCAGAUGCUGUGGAUGUUGCCACGUCCGGACGGGAACUAUCAUCCUUGGAACAUGGUACAUGGUUAUCAACCUGCUUAUGGGAAUCCUUCUAACAGUGGCGGCGACCCAUCCAGAAAGCGUUCCCUCCGUCAACUUGCAGUAUGCAGUUAUUGACCAUUACUUAACAUCUGAUCGGAUGUCAGAUGCAGCUGCGACACAGACGACACGCUGGGAAAAGUGUCCCAAAGGGAACGCCGGUGCCGGAUUGGCCAUUUCUCUGCUUAUGGUGACUGUCAGCGCUAUGUUGCUGUAUGGAGCCAUUGCUCAUCGCAGUGGGAUGCUCAUCCCGUUCUUUUGCUACCAGAUGUUUGACUUUGCUCUCAGCUGCCUGGUGGCCUGCAGCUCCCUCACCUACCUACCCAGGAUACAGGAGUACCUGGACCAGCUGCCGGAUUUCCCCUACAAGGAUAACCUGUUGUCUCUGGACCCCAGGUUCCUGUUCUUCUUUGUACUGGUCCUCUUUACCUUCCUCAUUGUCCUCAAGGCGUACUUGAUGAACUGCGUGUGGAACUGCUACAAGUACAUCAUCAACAGAAACAAGCCAGAUGUUGCUGUCUUCCUCUCUUUUGAGAAUCAGCCCCAGUCCACCUUGCCCACCUACGAGAUGGCAGUAAACAUGCCUGACAAGGACCCUCCACCACCUUACAUGCCAUCGUAAGGACCAGCUCCACUGUGGACACAACACCUGCCACCGCCAAAUGCAUUUCUACAUUCCCUCACUUUAAUCCUCUCCGAGCGCCUCUUAUCUACUGUACAUAUAGUGCAAAGGGAAGCACGCCGCAGCACCCUUUUGGUUUAUUUGGCUUUGCUGCGGUUCACUACUACCACCACCAUCACCAGCCCAGAUGUUUACAUCACACUCUGCUGCCAGCUAGUUUUCCAGCUGUGUACGAGAAAGGGAGGAGGGAAGCUGCUUUUCCACCAGCCUAAUAUCAACCUGUGAAGAUUUGUUGUUGCAUGCCUUCUUCCCCACUUAACUGACCCUAACAUGCUUUUUGGUUCCAUUUAAUUCUACCCAAUUUAAUGACUUAAAUAAAGGGUUGA